AAAGUUGAUACAAGCUACGAUAAU
rnacentral:snRNA from 1 species